rnacentral:rRNA from 1 species
UCCGUAGGUGGCGAGCGUUGUCCGGAUUUAUUGGGUUUAAAGGGUGCGUAGGCGGCUUUGUAAGUCAGUGGUGAAAUACUCUAGCUUAACUAGAGGGGUGCCAUUGAUACUGCGGAGCUUGAGUACAGAUGAGGUAGGCGGAAUUGACGGUGUAGCGGUGAAAUGCAUAGAUAUCGUCAAGAACACCGAUAGCGAAGGCAGCUUACUGGGCUGUAACUGACGCUGAGGCACGAAAGUGUGGGGAUCAAACAGG